CCUAAUCUGGGCAAUAGAUGGAG
rnacentral:snRNA from 1 species